UAACUGUAGCUGUCGCUGAAAGGUGUGACUUUAUUUUUUGCAUUAAUAUUUUUUGUAUGAAGAAAUGUCUUAUUUAAUAAGCCAGAAAUGUAAAUUGUAAUUGCCUUAUGUGAUUUUAAGUUGUGGUAAUAAUGACCCCUACUGGCAGUAUAAGAGGGCUGCGCUAAAUACAAGGGUGCAGUCAUGUGAUUCACGCAAUGAGUAGCUGGGAAAAUGUGCGUUCUGCCCUUUCGGAGCUACGAUGCUCUUGGAGCAAGAUGUAGGUGUACGAGUUCGACCGUAAGGCCUUAGCAGCUCCUGAUAUUCCGGUCAGAAGGCGCACACGGUAGUGUUUUAUUGUUUGUGCAUUUAUUUAUUUUAUAUGUGUAAUUUACGUUUCAUAGUAGAGAAGAUACAGUGAUAUUAAAAUGUAAUCUUUAUUUCAUUUCAGUUUUUCACGGUGUUUGGUGAUGUAAGAGUAUUUCAGUGUGAAAGGAAGACAAUAAAAACUCUCGUCAAACAUCAGUCGAUUCGUGGUUUAAUUCUGACCAGAAGAAAAGCUUUAGGAGCAGCUACAGUGAAAAACGUGUCCACCUAGAAUCCACCAUGAAGCGAGAAACGUGUUCACCCAGUGACUGAGGUCUGCACCAAGAGCCAAGAACAAGAUACCGGGGUUCACUAAGUGCUGGAUUCGACGGAUGGAAGCGAUAACGUGGCCGAUGGAAGAAGAAAACGCAUGGUUAACAGCGAGAACAUCGAUGGCGUGGAGGAAGGAGCCUUCCACGUAAGGGAACAACGUAACCAGAGGGAGAAAGAACAGCGAUGGUCACCAGCUUUCCUGUGCAGAUCAGAAGGCCUGCAUCUCCAGAGGGCUGUCGGCAUUGUGGGCCUGCGUGAGAGGACCUGCCUACUCGCUCUGGCAUUCAUCCAGCGCGACACCGCGAGGUGCCGUCGAGCGCAGAACUGAAACCACAGCGCAUGAAAGAGACGGUGCUGCAGUUGCUGCAGGAGGCCACAGGGAAGAAUCGGUGCGUCAUAUGGACAAUUCAACUGACGAGAAUGCAAAGGAUAGCAGGUCAGACUGUAUAUUCUCCGUUUUAAUUUGGGUUGAUUGAACUGAAUAUUGCAUACACAAAGUAUUGCACUUUAAGUUGUUAUUGAGAAAAAAAAAAAAAGGGAAAAAAAGGGACUGUUGCAUUUUGACAAUUUGUAACUUGAAAAGAGAUAUGUAACUUGUUUGUUUUUGCCAUUGUGUAUUUUCAUGACGGUUUUACAGUAAUGGUUCUGAAGUUACCUUGGUUUACAUUUAAACGUUAAAAAUUUACAUAGCAUUGUUGGCUCUUAAAGCAGUUAAGCAGAAUGGAUCAGUGCAAACCAGGUACUCUUGUGCUAGAGGAAGUACUAGAGGCUCUGGAAAAGGAGAAGAGAGAGUUAGAGGAAAAGGUAGAAACUGAACUUGAAGAGUCAGAAAGACAGAAAAUGGAAGAUCGCAUAGCUGAAAUUAAUACAGAUCUUCAAAUUCAUAAAGUAGGGCUCAAAGAACCAGCACCUCAGACUGAACAAGCAGUGAGGCGAUCAGAAAGAAAGAGGCAUCCAACAGAAAAGGGGCUUCAAUACAUAAAAGAGGAAAGUUCAAAGAAGGAAAAGAAGUUUAUGUUUACAUAUGUUAACUUCAAGGCUGAGGUUCAGUAUAUUAGGACUAAAUUAAAGCAAGAAUGUUCAAAAGCAGAAUUAGGUGACAUGAUUCUAGCUUUAAGUAAAUAUGAGCCAGCACUACAGCAAGAAUAUGAGAGCUUGCGCACACUGACCACACCAUCUCCAGAUAUUAGGAGAAGAAUGGAUAGCUGCUCAUCGGUGACAGCUGAAAUAAUUGCACUCUUGAAAGCACGCUACGCAGAAGUAGACUAUGAGUUUGAUCCAGACUCUGUGAAAGAAGCACUCUUACUAUUACUUAAAAGAGAAGAUGCCAGGUCAAUUUAUGGCUCAACAGUGUCAAGAGCUGCAGGGAGUAGUGUGCACGGUAGCCACGUGUCACAAAAGAAGGCAGAGGUGGCAGCGCGAAUGGCAUCAAAACAAGCUGAAAUUGCUAGGGAAAAGGAAAUAUCCGCACAAAGAAAAGAGGUGGUAGCCCAGCAAGAGAGGUUAAAAAUGAUGGAAGAUCAAAGGGAUCUUGAGGCCAUGGCGGCUGAAUUUAAGGUUUAUGCUGAAGAGGAAUCAAAAUUAAAUGCUGAAAUAGGAGAAAUAACAGAAAUAGUCACAUUGCCUCCACACCAGCUUCCAAUACAGCAUGACAGCAUUCCAUGCAUUAAGACUUCCCAAGAUCCGCCAGGUCCACUUAGAUCUGAAAGAAAAGCAGUACCAACUUCAAAUGAAGUCUCGCUGGUUCAAGCCUUAAAGGAGUCCCUGGUAAUGACUAGACUUCCAGCACCAGAGCCGUUCACGUUUACAGGAGAUCCACUUAAAUUUACUGAAUGGCGCACUAGUUUCAAAACCUUAAUUGAAACAAGUUGCACAAAUCCAGCACACAGGCUCUUCUAUUUGAAAAAAUAUAUCGGUGGAGACGCUCUUUGUGUGUUGGAGGGCACAUUCUAUAGGAGUGACGAAGAAGCGUACACUCAGGCUUGGGAGGUCCUGAACAAACGUUAUGGCCACCCCUUCGUUGUCCAAAGAGCAUUCCGGGGAAAGCUGAGCAACUGGACAAAAAUUGGACCAAAAGAGUCUCUGAAAUUGAGAGAAUUUAGUGAUUUCCUCAUCUCCUGCAGGAAUGCAAUGCCUCACGUAGCUGGUCUAAGGGUAUUAGAUGAUUGUGAGGAAAAUCAAAAGUUGCUACAGAAGCUGCCUGACUGGCUAACGACCCGCUGGAACCGGCAUGUGACUAGAGCGUUGGAUGAAGGGAAUUUAUAUCCUGGCUUCAAGGAGUUUUCAGACUUUGUGGCAGAGGAGGCACGUAUUGCGUGCAACCCAUCCCUUCACGCAUUGAAAAACAUAGAUGAGAAGACUGGUAAAGAACAGAAGCGUCCAACAAAGGCCAAUGUUCUGGCGACAACAACCAAGGUACCACAGAAAGAAAGUUCCAAUUCAAGGAACUCAAGCCCAGCAGAAGGUGUUACAGCUAACCUUCCUGCCACUCAAACUAAAAGGCCCAUAGAAUGUGUCUGCUGUCAAGGAAAUCACUUUAUUUAUAAAUGUGAAAAAUUUGCGGCAAUGACUCUAGAAGAGAAGAAAAAAUUUGUCAUAGUCAACAACAUGUGCUUUGGCUGCCUCAGAGUUGGCCAUGUUGGCAAAAACUGUCGAAAGAGAGCCACUUGUAACGUUUGCAAGCGAAAUCACCCAUCUCCACUGCAUGAGGAACAGGGUGAAAAGCCGGACGCACCACCACAAAAGGAAGAUUCUUCCACCAACCUGUGCAGUGUGAAAAUGGACAGUGGUGACCGCACUUCAAUGAUUGUACCGGUGUGGCUUUCUAGUGCAGCUACAGAUAGCCCAGAAAUCUUGGUAUAUGCAUUACUAGACACACAAAGCAGCAAUACCUUUAUAGACCAAGAUGUCUGCCGAAAAAUGCAAGCUCACUCAGAACCUGUCAAAUUGAAGCUGUCUACAAUGACUGACAAGAGUUCUAUAGUGAAUUGCCACAGAGCUGUCGGAUUGAGGGUGAGAGGAUAUCGUUCACAAGAGAGCAUUGAGUUACCACCAGUGUACACACAAGAAUACAUCCCGUUGGAGAAAAAUAGUAUUCCAACUCAUGAAACAGCAAAAAGGUGGAUCCAUCUUCUCAGUGUGGCCAAAGAGAUGCCAGAUUUAUUGGACUGUCCUGUAGGACUCCUAAUUGGCUAUGACUGUGCAAGAGCGCUGAAACCACAGGAAGUGGUAUCAGGGGAAGAGCAUGAACCCUACGCAGUCAAGACAGCAUUAGGCUGGAGUAUAGUUGGAACCACUAUGCCUUGCACUAGUACAAGAAAUGAGACUAGAGUCUGCAAUCGCAUUACUGUGAAAGAGCUUCCGCCCAUCACACCCGCCUCUGUGAUUAAGGCAUUAGAGAAAGACUUCCUUGAUACAAACCCAAAGGACAAGACAAUAUCCCAAGAAGAUAUUCAGUUUUUGCAUAUCUUGAAUGACAAAGUCAAGCACAAUGAAGAAGGACAUCUGGAGAUGCCUCUACCAUUCAGAGUGCGUCCUCAGCUUCCGAACAAUAAGCAGCUUGCUACAGUGCGUCUGAACCAUUUAAAGAGGAAAAUAGAAAAGAGUCCCAAAUAUAAGGAAGAUUACAUCAAGUUCAUGGACAAUGUCUUCGGAGACGGUGAUGCAGAGGAGACAAGUGCGGCGCCUAGGGGAGGUAACACAUGGUACAUUCCGCACCAUGGGGUGUAUCACCCUAGGAAACCUGAAAAAAUCAGGGUUGUCAUUGACUGCUCCGCCAAAUUCGAAGGCACCUCUCUGAAUGACCACUUGCUCACAGGCCCAGAUCUAACAAAUACUCUGACUGGAGUCCUGUGUAGAUUUCGGCAACAUAAGAUCGCAAUCAAUUGCGAUGUGGAAAAAAUGUUUCAUCGCUUUCACGUCAGCCCAGAGGAUCGUGACUUUAUGAGGUUUCUUUGGUGGGACAAUGGAAACACAGAGAGCGAACCUAAAGAAUUCCACAUGCGAGUACACAUAUUCGGUGCUGCAUCAUCACCGGGAUGUGCUAAUUAUGGCAUGAAACACCUUGCCAGUAAAUAUGAGAAGGACUACCCACUGGCAGCAAGUUUCAUAUGCAAGAAUUUUUAUGUGGAUGACGGGCUGGUCAGUGUCAAUUCGGUUGAAAGGGCCAACCAGCUUGUCAGUGAAGCACGGGAAGUCUGUAGUAAGGGACAGCUGCGUUUACACAAAUUUGUCUCCAACAACAGAGAGGUUUUGGAUGCAAUACCAGAGAGUGAACGUGCCAAUGCUGUGAAGGAUGUAGACCUGAACUACAGUGAGCUUCCAAUGCAGAGUGUCCUUGGUGUAAAGUGGAACGUUGAGAAGGAUGUAUUUUCGUUCAAUGUCGUCCUCACAGAAAAGGCCGCCACACGGAGAGGAAUCCUAUCAACAGUCGCCAGUGUUUACGACCCACUGGGAUUUCUCGCUCCUUACCUCUUGAACGGUAAAAGAGUGCUGCAAGAGAUGUGCAAACAGGGUGUGGGAUGGGAUGAACCCGUUCCCCCUGACAUAAAACCAAAGUGGGAAGCAUGGCUUCAUGACCUAAAGAGUCUACAAAAAAUUGAGAUACCAAGAUGCUUCAUUCCUGAAAACCUUGGCACAAUCAAAAAAAUUGAGUUGCAUCAUUUUUCAGAUGCCAGCAAUAGUGGCUAUGGGCAGUGCUCAUAUAUCAGAAUUGUUGCAGAUGAGCAAGUGCACUGUGCAUUAGUCAUGGGUAAAGCCAGAGUGGCACCCAUGAGAGUUGUCAGCAUUCCGCGCCUUGAGCUCACAGCAGCUACAGUCUCUGCUGCUGUUAGUAGCACUCUCCGAGAAGAGCUGAAACUGGAAAUAGAUCAAGAAUUUUUCUGGACCGAUUCACAAGUAGUGCUCGGGUACAUCAAAAAUGAAGCCAGACGCUUUCAUGUGUUUGUAGCCAACCGCGUUCAGAAAAUAAGAGACACUACUGAUCCAAGUCAGUGGUUCUAUGUAGAGACAUGUCAGAAUCCAGCCGACCAUGCAUCUCGGGGUCUCAAGGUGGCGGAGCUGCUAGAGUCAAGUUGGCUGAGAGGACCAGAGUUCUUAUGGGAACAAGAAAUUGUUACAGAUCAAAGAACUCCAGAGCUUCUUGUGGGCGAUCCAGAAGUGAAGAUCUUGAGAACUCAGGCUGUGGAAGAGGACAGCUUCCUGGAAAGAUUCUCAAAAUUCUCUGAUUGGAACACAGCCCUCAAUGUCAUUGUACGGAUCCAAAGACUGGCACAUAAAGACAGAACUGGUCCUAUCAGUGUUGAGGAGCGAAGAGAAGCUACUCUUGUGUUAGUCAGAGCAGCACAGAGAGAGGCUUUUGAAGAAGAACUCAAAUGGUUCAGUCAUAAGUCCACGAAAUUGCCAAAAACUCACAAGAUGCAUCAGCUUGAUCCAAUAUUUGAAAAUGGAUUGCUCAGGGUAGGAGGCAGAUUAAGAAUGUCUUCUGCAUCCCUGGAGUUGAAGCAUCCAGUGAUCUUACCUAAGGAAGGCAUUGUCACCCAGCUUAUACUUGACCACUGUCACAAGAAGACGCAGCACCAAGGCCGAGGGCAAACAUUGAAUGAGCUCCGAGCCAAUGGCUAUUGGAUAUUAGGUGCUAGCAAGUUAGUGGCCAAGCAUAUAAGGAACUGUGUUACUUGCAGAAAGGUGCGUGGACCGACAGAACAACAGCGUAUGGCGGACCUGCCCAGUGACCGAGUCGAUCCCUCUCCUCCGUUCUCAUAUACUGGGAUUGAUUGCUUCGGCCCAUUUUAUACCAAGCAGGGUCGCAAAGAAUCCAAGAGGUAUGGCUUAUUGUUUACAUGCUUAAGUUCUAGGGCCAUCCACAUAGAAAUGUUGGAGGAUCUCACAACCGAUGCAUUUUUGAAUGCUUUGAGAUGCUUCAUAGCACUCAGAGGAGCAGUAAGACAGAUUCGCUCGGAUCAAGGGACAAAUUUUGUUGGAGCUAAGAAUGAAUUGGAGAAGGGUCUAAUGGAGCUAGACAAGGAGAGGAUUGCGACCUAUCUGGCUGGAAAGCAGUGUGAUUUCCUCAUGAACGUUCCUGAAGCAAGCCACAUGGGGGGCAUUUGGGAACGCCAAAUACGGACCGUCAGGAGCGUCAUGAGCACUGUUCUCGCGCAAGCCAAGGGAAGACUUGAUGACACCUCAUUGAGAACAUUUUUCUAUGAGGCUAUGUCAAUUGUGAAUAGCCGUCCGCUCACCACGGAUUCCAUCAGUGACCCUAAGAGUGUUGAACCAUUAACACCGAAUCAUUUGCUGACCAUGAAGUCUGUUGUGCCCCUCCCACCACCAGGCAAUUUUGUGAGAGAAGACUUAUAUGCCCGGAAAAGGUGGCGGAGAGUGCAAUACCUAUCAGAGCAAUUCUGGAGUAGGUGGCGCAAAGAAUACCUGGCCAACGUAAGCCUCCGACAACAAUGGCAUGUGCCCAGAAGAAAUGUGAGAGUGGGGGACGUAGUUAUUGUCAAGGAGGACAAUGUUCCCAGAAACGAAUGGAGACUUGCCAGAGUUGUAGAAGCAAGAAAGGAGGAUGAUGGUCUGGUGCGCAAGGUCAAAAUUCAAAUAGGACAGAGUAAAUUAGGAAAACGAGGUGAACGCUUAGCGCAACCAACUUUUCUUGAACGCCCAGUUCAAAAACUAGUGGUGCUAGUUGAACAGAAUUCAUAGUCUAGUGUCAAAACAGCACUUAUUGCUGAUCUUUAAGGUUAAGAUGUUACAAGAAUAAGUGAAGGUUAUGUUACUAUUUUGAGGAAAAUUACAAGAUUUAUUUCAUUGUUUCAAAGUAAAGGGUAACAUAAAUCUUUCGUAAUUUUGGUGGCAGUGUAGCUGUCGCUGAAAGGUGUGACUUUAUUUUUUGCAUUAAUAUUUUUUGUAUGAAGAAAUGUCUUAUUUAAUAAGCCAGAAAUGUAAAUUGUAAUUGCCUUAUGUGAUUUUAAGUUGUGGUAAUAAUGACCCCUACUGGCAGUAUAAGAGGGCUGCGCUAAAUACAAGGGUGCAGUCAUGUGAUUCACGCAAUGAGUAGCUGGGAAAAUGUGCGUUCUGCCCUUUCGGAGCUACGAUGCUCUUGGAGCAAGAUGUAGGUGUACGAGUUCGACCGUAAGGCCUUAGCAGCUCCUGAUAUUCCGGUCAGAAGGCGCACACGUUUUUCACGGUGUUUGGUGAUGUAAGAGUAUUUCAGUGUGAAAGGAAGACAAUAAAAACUCUCGU